CUUGGGUUUGUCUUUGUACAGUAGAGAUAUUUAGAUUUUAUGUGAUCAGAGAACCAAGUUCUCUUCACGUUUAUAGAGAUAGAAUGUUAAGGAAAGAAGGACAUUGUGUAAACUCCUCUGACAUUUAGAGCCAAGAGUAAAGAGUUCUCUAAAGAUUUCACACAGACACAAGCAGAAAUCAAAUCAUUGUGUUUGUCCACGUACCUAUGGUUUAAAAAAAUUCAUAUACAUAUUUACCAGCAUUAAGGUGAACUUCCAGGUGUAUAAUUUUGUUACAGCUAUCCAUUUAGUUUGUCAGCUACUAUGUGAUGUCUUGAAAUAAUAAGCUAUUCAUUUAAAUAAUCAGAAGUUCAGAUCAUUGGUGGACCCGGGGAUUUACAUCUGACUGGGAUUACUGACUAAGGUUUUACCCCCACUCUGUCCCCUAAUGCCUGUAUCGAAAUUGUAGUCAGAGCCUCUAGUUAUUAAGCCUACUAUACAUACAGGGUAAAAGGGGCAUUUAAUUGAUUUGUCAUAUAUAAAUCAUUGGUUUGUCAUACAUAAAUCAUAUAUUGUCAUAUAUAAAUCAUUGAUUUGUCAUAUAUUGAUUUGUCGUAUUAGGACAUCGGUGCCAGUGUCAUAGCAGAAGCUGCAUGCCUGACUGUGUGUAGGUUAUGGUCACUGUAUUCAUAUUUGGAAAUAUGUUUAUCUGUGUUUGUGUGGACGUAUGUGCCCACCUUUUAGAAUCUGUGCAACUCAUGCAUUUGGGCUCUGAAGCUGCCCCAAGUUCAGACACGUCGGAAUGAACUACAAAACUAACCAAUACUGCCUGUAGAUUCUCUGAAAGAAAAUGCAAUAUUUAAAUAACAAUGGAACAUUUUAAAGAACAUUAGAAUUGUUGACUGGGGUACACUUCAAAUAACAUAGAAUAGAUUGUGAUAUCCAAACUUCUGGAAAACAUAUUUAAGUGUUAAUUUACUACUAAACCAGGAUUUGCAGAAAAUUGACAGAUUCCAUUUCGAAAAAUUCUACUUUUUAUCUCCAGCUCAACUAUUUUGCCCUAAUAUUCCAGGACUAUUGAUUUAAUGUUGUGCUUUUAAAUCUAUGCUGUUCACAUGAAAAGCAGGAAAUGUACACUGUACAGGUUAGCUAGAGAACUCCUAAUGCUGUCUGGGAUUGCAAAUGGCAUCAGCAGAAAAACUUGACAUUUAAAUAUCCUUCCUGGACCAAUCAGAAAUUGCAUUAAUGGAUGACUCAGUCUAUUAUAAGUCUCUUAUCCAAUGAGUAAAGC